rnacentral:rRNA from 1 species
UGGGGAAUUUUGGACAAUGGGGGAAACCCUGAUCCAGCCAUCCCGCGUGUGCGAUGAAGGCCUUCGGGUUGUAAAGCACUUUUGGCAGGAAAGAAACGUCAUGGGUUAAUACCCCGUGAAACUGACGGUACCUGCAGAAUAAGCACCGGCUAACUACGUGCCAGCAGCCGCGGUAAUACGUAGGGUGCAAGCGUUAAUCGGAAUUACUGGGCGUAAAGCGUGCGCAGGCGGUUCGGAAAGAAAGAUGUGAAAUCCCAGAGCUCAACUUUGGAACUGCAUUUUUAACUACCGGGCUAGAGUGUGUCAGAGGGAGGUGGAAUUCCGCAUGUAGCAGUGAAAUGCGUAGAUAUGCGGAGAAACACCGAUGGCGAAGGCAGCCUCCUGGGAUAACACUGACACUCAUGCAAGAAAGCGUGGGGAGCAAACAGG